rnacentral:rRNA from 1 species
ACCAGCACCUCGAGUGGUCAGGACGUUUAUUGGGCCUAAAGCAUCCGUAGCCGGCUUUGCAAGUCUUCGGUUAAAUCCACCUGCUCAACAGAUGGGCUGCUGGAGAUACUACAAAGCUAGGGAGUGGGAGAGGCAGACGGUAUUCAGUGGGUAGGGGUAAAAUCCUCUGAUCCAUUGAGGACCACCAGUGGCGAAGGCGGUCUGCCAGAACACGUUCGACGGUGAGGGAUGAAAGCUGGGGGAGCAAACCGGA